GACGAACGCUGGCGGCGUGCUUAGCACAUGCAAGUCGAACGGAAAGGCCCUGCUUUUGUGGGGUGCUCGAGUGGCGAACGGGUGAGUAACACGUGAGUAACCUGCCCUUGACUUUGGGAUAACUUCGGGAAACUGGGGCUAAUACCGGAUAGGAGCUCCUGCUGCAUGGUGGGGGUUGGAAAGUUUCGGCGGUUGGGGAUGGACUCGCGGCUUAUCAGCUUGUUGGUGGGGUAGUGGCUUACCAAGGCUUUGACGGGUAGCCGGCCUGAGAGGGUGACCGGCCACAUUGGGACUGAGAUACGGCCCAGACUCCUACGGGAGGCAGCAGUGGGGAAUAUUGCACAAUGGGCGGAAGCCUGAUGCAGCAACGCCGCGUGCGGGAUGACGGCCUUCGGGCUGUAAACCGCUUUCGCCUGUGACGAAGCGUGAGUGACGGUAAUGGGGAAAGAAACACCGGCUAACUACGU
rnacentral:rRNA from 1 species